AUCAACGGAUGAAUGGGAGAAAGAAACCACGUCUAGACGCCAACGGACGAAUAGGAAGGACUCAACCAAACAUCAACGGAUGAAUGGGAGAAAGAAACCACGACUAGACGCCAACGGAUGAAUAUGAAGGACUCAACCAAACAUCAACGGAUGAAUGGGAGAAAGAAACCACGACUAGACGCCAACGGACGAAUAGGAAGGACUCAACCAGACAUCAACGGAUGAAUGGGAGAAAGAAACCACGACUAGACGCCAACGGACGAAUAGGAAGGACUCAACCAGACAUCAACGGAUGAAUGGGAGAAAGAAACCACGACU
rnacentral:lncRNA from 1 species